AGUGAACGCUGGCGGUAGGCCUAACACAUGCAAGUCGAACGGCAGCACAGUAAGAGCUUGCUCUUACGGGUGGCGAGUGGCGGACGGGUGAGGAAUACAUCGGAAUCUACUUUUUCGUGGGGGAUAACGUAGGGAAACUUACGCUAAUACCGCAUACGACCUACGGGUGAAAGCAGGGGAUCUUCGGACCUUGCGCGAUUGAAUGAGCCGAUGUCGGAUUAGCUAGUUGGCGGGGUAAAGGCCCACCAAGGCGACGAUCCGUAGCUGGUCUGAGAGGAUGAUCAGGCAAACUGGAACUGAGACACGGUCCAGACUCCUAAGGGAGGCAGCAGUGGGGAAUAUUGGACAAUGGGCGCAAGCCUGAUCCAGCCAUACCGCGUGGGUGAAGAAGGCCUUCGGGUUGUAAAGCCCUUUUGUUGGGAAAGAAAAGCAGCAGGUUAAUACCCCGCUGUUCUGACGGUACCCAAAGAAUAAGCACCGGCUAACUUCGUG
rnacentral:rRNA from 1 species